rnacentral:rRNA from 1 species
AAUGAACGCUGGCGGUAGGCCUAACACAUGCAAGUCGAACGGCAGCACAGUAAGAGCUUGCUCUUACGGGUGGCGAGUGGCGGACGGGUGAGGAAUACAUCGGAAUCUACUUUUUCGUGGGGGCUAACGUAGGGAAACUUACGCUAAUACCGCAUACGACCUACGUGUGAAAGCAGGGGAUCUUCGGACCUUGCGCGAUUGAAUGAGCCGAUGUCGGCUUAGCUAGUUGGCGGGGUAAAGGCACACCAAGGCGACGAUCCGUAGCUGGUCUGAGAGGAUGAUCAGCCACACUGGAACUGAGACAAGGUCCAGACUCCUACGGGAGGCAGCAGUGGGGAAUAUUGGACAAGGGGGGAAAGCCUGAUCCAGCCAUACCGCGUGGGUGAAGAAGGACUUCGGGUUGUAAAGCCCUUUUGUUGGGAAAGAAAAGCAGCAGGUUAAUACGCCGCUGUUCUGACGGUACCCAAAGAAUAAGCACCGGCUAACUUCGUG